rnacentral:rRNA from 1 species
AGCGGCGGACGGGUGAGUAACGCGUGGGUAACCUGCCCUGUACACACGGAUAACAUACCGAAAGGUAUGCUAAUACGAGAUAAUAUACUUUUAUCGCAUGGUAGAAGUAUCAAAGCUUUUGCGGUACAGGAUGGACCCGCGUCUGAUUAGCUAGUUGGUAAGGUAACGGCUUACCAAGGCGACGAUCAGUAGCCGACCUGAGAGGGUGAUCGGCCACAUUGGAACUGAGACACGGUCCAAACUCCUACGGGAGGCAGCAGUGGGGAAUAUUGCACAAUGGGCGAAAGCCUGAUGCAGCAACGCCGCGUGAGCGAUGAAGGCCUUCGGGUCGUAAAGCUCUGUCCUCAAGGAAGAUAAUGACGGUACUUGAGGAGGAAGCCCCGGCUAACUACGUGCCAGCAGCCGCGGUAAUACGUAGGGGGCUAGCGUUAUCCGGAAUUACUGGGCGUAAAGGGUGCGUAGGUGGUUUCUUAAGUCAGAGGUGAAAGGCUACGGCUCAACCGUAGUAAGCCUUUGAAACUGGGAAACUUGAGUGCAGGAGAGGAGAGUGGAAUUCCUAGUGUAGCGGUGAAAUGCGUAGAUAUUAGGAGGAACACCAGUUGCGAAGGCGGCUCUCUGGACUGUAACUGACACUGAGGCACGAAAGCGUGGGGGAGCAAACAGGAUUAGAUACCCUGGUAGUCCACGCCGUAAACGAUGAGUACUAGCUGU